rnacentral:lncRNA from 1 species
GUAAUUAGUCUUAAUUUUCCAAAACUUGAAAGUUCUCAUUCAUCAUGCUAUACAACUUGCAUGAUUCCAAGUUCCGGUCCAAUUGAAACUUGGGUGAUGAGAAUCUUUCCUUAUUUGGUAAAUCUAGACAUUACCACAAAUGAAAGAAUCAAUUUCAUAUUUCCACUCUUGCUCUUAAUGGAAUCAUAUAAGCAACAAUUUUUCCUCAAAAGCCAUUGUAAGGAUAUUUUAAAAUAAAUAAAAUCAAAAAAUUUUUCUUUUAUUUUAAAACUUUGCGGAAAAACUUAUCCUUACAAUCCAUAUGAAAACUUGUUGUUAUCUAUUCCUAAGCAAUAUCUCAUAACUCCUAAGAAGUUGCUCAAGAAUCCGAUCUUCAAACUAUGCGAUAGAAAUCCAUCUACGCCAUCAGAUUCAGCAUAUUCUUUCUUUAAGUUUCUUCACUUUUCUUUGAUUCUUAAAACAUCACCAUGUGACCCAGUCACAUCAUGUAUCAGGAAUCUCAGAAUAGAAACUUAACAGAGUUAGAUAGUGGACUUUACCUGAAGUAGAGUCAAACUUAUUGACUUUAACAUCCUUAGGUAAAUUUGGCAGCUUCGCAACCAAUGCCCCUUCCUUUGGCAAUAUAAACAUAUGGACCCUUUGAUAAUGGUACACGGGACUAUCACAGACUUAGCUUUUCUCUUUACCAUUUGGUCAACCGAGUUGACUAUGGCCGAUCCCUUUCCAUUGGGAAGAGAAUGCUUUACUGGAUAUCCAAUGUCAUCAUUGUCAAUGUCCAUAAAGUUUUAGGAAGUUGAUCUUAGCAAAUAGAUAAGAUCAUUAAGGGUCUUGUCAUAGUCUGUUUCAUAGGUGUCCCAAAGGAACUCACUAUGUGACUUAGAAAGUGAUUGAACCACCAACUUUCUCAAGACUUUGACACCCAACUCUCCCGGCUUGUCAAUAUGUGACUACAUCUCCAAGAUGUGAUCACACCUAGACCUUGCCUUGCCAAUAGGGCUUGAGUGACCUUAAACUUUUCAAGAACUUGUGGGUUAGGGAGAAUAAUUGGAGGAGGUGAAAGAAGUAUGAUUUCCAAAGGACAUCAUCUUCAUUUAGGAAACCUUGUUUCACUAGAUUUGGGAAGAUCAUAGGUGUCUAUUACAGACAUCUUUUGGGAGAUAUUCAAGAUAGUUGAUUUAAAGUCCUUAAUAUGACACCCAAUAUGAAAUAUUAAGGCUAGGACCCAACAAACUAUUUUAUAACUUAGAAGAGGUAUGCCGUAAUCCAAGCUAUAAAAUAUUUGAAGGUAGGUGAAUGACGAUUCACCAAUUUCCACCAAGAUAAACGAAAUGUAUUAUUAGGUUUUAAUUGGUUUUGAAACUCCUAGAUCUUUGAGAUUCAUUGAACUGUUCAAAGGCAUGUUUCAAUCUCGAGUGUGCCCUUCAGGUUUUGUGACUGGGAUGCCGAGGAUCACAAAACAAGGUGUGAAGUAACCAUGCAAAUCACUUGGUACCCUUAAUAAAUUACCCCUCAAUCGAUGUGCCGGUUAACCACACACGCUCCAUCGAUACUAUGAUAAAUAUUAAGUCACCCUUUACCUACCUUGUUAAGUCCAAGUUAGUGUGCCGGUUAACCACACACGCUCCACUAACGACUUAGACAAAGUGUAAAGUGUAAUUUCAUGGAUUAGCACCUUAUUCACAUUUUUCCUAAGUAACUAAGAUUGGGUAUUAUUAAGAGUUUAGUUACUUAGUAUUAUCAUUAAUACUUUUAAUGAAGGGAGAAUUCUAGUCCUGUCAAACCCGUUCGGCUAACGACCCUCCACCAGUCAAGCAAGCGGUGGGUGAGAGUGGACACCCAUUAAGUUGCCAUUUUAUAGGCAACAACCUUAUACCCACCUUAUAGACCGGCUUCGUGAAUGAGGCGUACUAGCGGUAAGACUGACUUUACUCUUAUACAUAUAUAUAUUAUUAACUUAUAAUAUUAUAAAGUAUAAGGGUUGAAUUUUAACUUUUAAAAUUCUAAGGGCUAACUUGGAAUUAAAGUAUUCAUAAGUGAAAACUUUACAAAUUCCAAAACUUGAGGGCAAGUUUUGAAACUAUUCAAAACUAAUUAAUUCCAUAACUUAUGUGUUUAAAGUAGUUUUAAUCCAAAAACUCUUCAAGUUCCAUAACUUGAGGACAAGUUAUGGAAGACUUUAAACUAAUAAAAGAAUUAACUUUUCUUUAUUUUAUAACUUAUGGAAUUAAUUAAGGUUACACUUUUUUUUUUUUUAUUUUAUUUUAUUAAAUGAAGAGACUCUUGGUCCUCCAUAACUUGAGGACAAGUUAUGGAGUCAUAAAACCAUUUAAUUAGAACUAGACUCUUCAUUUUUGUAACCUUUGCCAAUUUUUAUGAGUUUUAUGAUUCUUAAAUGUGACUUUUCAUAUAACUUGAGGACAAGUUACAAAAACACAUUUUAGAAUCAAUUCUUAGAUUAAUUUGGAUUAAAACCAACUAUCACAUAAUUUUAUUCAUUAAUCUAAAUUCACUCAUAAAACAAGGUAACACAAAAAACUUUUGGUGAUCCAUAACUUAUUCUUAAGUUAUGGAAUCCUUUAAAACAUUAACACCAAAUUUUGUAACUCCAAAAAAACUUUGAAUCAAUUUUUUUUUUAAAACCUUUUCAUAUCCAUAACUUAUGGAGGUUUCAAAAAAUAAAACUCUUUAGAUCAAACUUUUAAAACUAAUAAAAUAAUCAUAUUAUUUUAUCUUUUAUUAAAUUUGACCUAAUUCAACUCAUAAAGCAAAUUAUUCAAAUUUUACAAAUAAUUAGUUUUUCACAAGAACAAGUAAUUAUCUUAAAAUUUGACAAACUUCAUGUUUUUUUUUUUUUUUUUUUUCAACUUUGAAAAUAAAAUAUUUGCAUCAAUAUAACAGAAAACAACCCGUGGCUCUGAUACCACUGUUGGGUUUUGAGCAUUCUAACACUUCCUAAGUGUACAUGCAACCCUAAAUACCUUGGAUCUAUGUUUUCUCUAUUAUACAUGCAAAUAAGAACUUCCAAGGUAUUAUCCUAAUCUAGCAUACAAAACAAUAACUAUAGCAAGAUAGAAUACAUACCUCUUUGGUGUAGAAAGUCUUCAUGAAGCUUGAGUGCCUAGUGCCCCAAGUGUGACACCUCAAAUGGAAUCACAAUCAUCAAAACACUUAGAAUGACUUGAGAGAAUUCUACACUCAUCAAAAUCGGCUAGCCCUUUCUUCACUAUCUCUAGUGGCCGAUUUUUCCUCAAUAAUAAGAUGCUUAUAUAGUUACACAAUUAGGGUAAACUCUUAAUUGUCAUGGCUUUCCAUUUCCUUGGAUCCAUGGGUACAAAUACACCAUGGAGCAUCCAUGGACCAUCCUAUGGGUUUUAGCCCAACUUGAUUAUCCAUGGAGCAUUAGCCCACUAUACAAGUAUGGAUGAUUUACACAAUCAACCCAUAUAUUUAAUUAGUCUUCUUUUGAUCACUUAAUUAAUCCUAGAUUAAUUCUUGAUCAAUACUAAUUAAAUAAUCUUAUUAUUCUUAUUAUUAAUAUACUAGAACUUAUAAUAUAUUAAUAACCAUAAGUGUCUUAUUUCUCUCAUUAUAGUCUAUCCAAGUGCAUGAUGGUAUGCAACCCAAAUGGACCAUGCCGGGUCGGGUCAAGUCUUACCAAUUAUAGUUAUGGACUUAGACAUUAAUCCAACAGUCUCCCACUUGGAUAAGUCUAAAACUAUUAUUGCGUAUGACUUCAGGAACCAACUGGCAAUCGUAGCUCUCAAAAGCUUCUGUCGAACUCUGACCUUGUAGAUGAACUCUGACCUUUGUCAAUGACUUGUCCAUUAGAUAAGGGAUCAUAUAUUCCUCCAUUCUAGAUAUCAUAUGGACUGAGACAUGGAUUAUAAUCAUUCUCUCUGUCCAUUUGUUGUUUCCCGAUUUCCGAUUUAUGACGACUGACUAAUUGAACAAAUCAAAUCAGUCCUGGCCCGGCCGAGCACUUCCAUUUGUCAUCAUCAAAUCAUCGAGGGGCCCACAGAUAUCGCUUUUAUCCCGAAGGUAAAAGGAACGGAUAAACUUCGACUCAUAUGGCUUGUUCUACUACUUGUUGAAUCAUACACAAAGGCACGUUUUAUAGCACCGAGUUACCAAAUGCGUUUUCGUGCAAUCAAUGUACUAUCAACUCAUAGUAACAACUCAUAUCUCUAGGUUUGAAGAAUAUAAGAUAUUAUCGUCUCAUGAUCACUCGUGAUAAAAUCCAUGAAGUGAUUCCAAUGAGCGCGGGUUGAAUCCAAUACUCAGAACUUAUGAGCACUCAUGAGUGUUGUAGCCCUUUGUCCAACACCUUAGACCUCUACAAGCCAACCCAUGACAGUCUUAAUUCAUAUCUACUUCCAACAUAUGACCGACUGUGGAUGGUUUGAAUAACUUAGUCAUUCCGGAAGAAUAACCUAGUUUAUUCGGGAAGUCAAAACAUGCAAAGUGAAACACAAUAAUAAUUGAAUCCAAUAUGGUAUCAACCCUUUGAACAUAAAUAAAACACCUUUUAUUUAUCACCAUAUGAUUACACAUUAUUCAUUGUAUACUGUUUCAGCUAUCAACUUUAUUCUUGAAUUUAAAACAAUAGUUGUCCCAUGCUCCAAGCAUGUACACUAUGUUUUCUUAAACACUAGUCAUGCCACACACCAAGUAUGCAUACUAUGUUUGUCUAUGAUCUUUACUUUGUGAACUAGAUCAAUUGAACAUAACUUCAAUGAUUCUCUUUUCACACUCCCAAAUCCUUACUGCAAAUGCAAGAAUUCCAAAUUCAUGCCAUUUACUGAAAUCUGUUAGAUUCUAAACUUAUAUGCAUUGAUCCUCUUGUAAUGAUUAUGCACAAAGUCAGAAAGACUUGACAACAAUCAUUACAGAGUAUUCCAAAGGAGAUCAGCUCCUUGGAAACAUCCUUCUUGCAUUAAGUUUCCUAAUCUUAAACAGAUUGAAAAUUCUAACUUUGAAACAUUUCCAGAUUCCAUUUUGACUAUCACUUCUGAACAAGAGUUGCCUCCUUACAGAUUAUGUCAAUAUGGUCCUUCCAGAAUUAUCACUAUACUUCCAACUGUCCUUGAGCAACCAAUCUUUGGUAAACCUUAGAUUGUCCUCGACAAUUGUUUAAUCCUUUUAGUCAUAUCCAGUUCUAAACCUUUUCCCUUCUUAAUGCCCCAGGCAUUUGGAAAAUUUUAGAACGGAUGAAUAUAGCACAUGUAAUCGAUCCUAUAUCCGAAGCAUAUGGGACACGAUUCAUGAUGUCUUACAUAAAGACUAAACCAGUCUUUUGCUAUAAUAUUUCCAUUUCAAUUUGCCAAGUUCUCAUAAUUCAGAUUAUGAAAAGGGAUGCCGUAAUCAUAAUCGAAUUUUAGAACGCAAAUAAUGGACCCAUAUACAGAAUUUCCUUAUGUUGAGCCAUUCCAACAUGAAAUUCAUAUAUAUCCUUGACUAAAUGAUUAAAACCUCACGAUCUAAGCUUAUAGAUUUGAGAUGAAGUAUAAUUUCCUCUCCCUUAAUUAUAGCAAAACAACUUUUUCCCAAUUGAAACUUUUGUUUUCUAUAAUUAACAUUGCUAACUUGCAACCUUUAUCAUAAUUAUCAUGCUCCCACUAACAUGAUGAUUAUUAGCAUAACACUUAUGCUCCCACUAGCUUUGACAUGUAUCCAAAAAUUAGCUGGACUUGUAGAAAUCAAUACCUAAUUGACUUUCUUACCAAAGUUCAGAUUUCUGAUACUAGAUUGCUUUGAUAAGACUUUAUCAAAAUCAUACACCUUAUCUUAGAUAGCUCACAGGUGUGUCUAAAUAAUUUUAGAACUAUGAAAAGGCAUGCCUUAAUCAUAGUCUCAAUUGUUUAGACCUUUUCCACUUCUCACAAGUCCAUGUUAGUGUGCCGGUUAACCACACAUGCUCCACUAACGACUUUGAGAAUGCGAAUAUCAUAAUUUCUAUCUUGUUAAAAUCUACUUAGUGAAAGUGUUUCCUCACCAUCAUUUUCAUGAAUCGGAGAGAAACCUUAUGACACUUAGAUUUAAUGGUGUAUGUGUUCUUAUCCAUAUGAAAACCAUAGUCACAAGACAAGGAUAAUGACAAACCCAAACUCAUAUGGACUGAACUCAAUCUUAAUUUCUUACCAUCUGGCAACUCAAGGGCCUGGCAUUGCUUCCAAGUUGUUAUGCAACCAAUUGAGAACUCUAAGAGCUUAUAUGCAAAGCCAACUUUAAUUGGAAUGAGCACGGAAUAUGUCAACAUGAUAGGUUAUAAACCUCAAGUCGUGUGCUAGUGAUAAACUUACAGGUUUUUAUUCUUGAUUAUCCUUUCAGGAUGUUUAAGACUCCUACUAUCCUCUUGACACAUAAGGCUCACUUGCCAAAUAUUCACGAGAUAGUUUGGAUUCUUUAUCAAGACAAACACUUUACACAAUUGGCCUUAGUUGGUCUUUGUUUUGUCCAAAACAUCACAACUUACCAAUUUCAAAUGUACAAGAGUAGAAAACUUUUACUCUUACAUUUGACUAGUGUUUUAAACCUUUCUUUAAGAUAUUUCACUCAACUUACAGUCUUGGAGUAUGACCCUAAGACUAGUUUUGGAACGAAGUAUGACUCAUCUUCUUGAUUUGACCACUUCAACAAUUCAUAGAUCCUCUUCUUAGCUAUCAGAAUGCACUUAGGGAAUGAAUUGCGACAAGGUCUCUUAAUCGUUAAGAUGAUCAUAUGACAUGAUACUAAAGUACUCUCCCAUAUUUUCAGAUUUGAGAAACUUUUAUCCUUCUGCCUAAUUUGAUUCUUCUUAUUUGCUCUGCCAUACAUUGGAACCUUUUCCAAUGUCUCAGAAUUACACUUAAGCUUGGAAGUGUAACGAUAUUUACUGAGCUUUAGUAAAUUAUGACGAAUAAUCUUAUCGAUCUUUUGUGGUGGACUUCACCAGUGCACAAGAAUGUGUACUCAAUCCCUUAGUCCUUCAGUUGACUUCACAUAUACAUGUGAACAAGGAACUAGUCUUAAUUUUCCAAAGAUGAAAAAUUCUCAUUCAUCAUGCUGUACAACUUGCAUGAUUCCAAGUUUCGGUCCAAUUGAAACUUGGGUGAUGAGGAUCUUUCUUUAUUUGGUAAAUUUAGACAUUACCACAAAUGAAAGAAUCAAUUUCAUAUUUCCACUCUUGCUAUUAAUGGAAUCAUAUAAGCAACAAUUUUUUCUCAAAUGCCAUUGUAAGGAUAUUUUAAAAUAAAUAAAAUAAAAAAUUUUCUUUUAUUUUAAAACUUUGCGGAAAAACUUAUCCUUACAAUCCAUAUGAAAACUUGUUGUUAUCUAUUCCUAAGCAAUAUCUCAUAACUCCUAAG